AUGCAGUCGAGCGGAUGGAUUGAGAGCUUGCUCUUAUGAAGUUAGCGGCGGACGGGUGAGUAACACGUGGGUAACCUGCCCAUAAGACUGGGAUAACUCCGGGAAACCGGGGCUAAUACCGGAUAANAUUUUGAACUGCAUGGUUCGAAAUUGAAAGGCGGCUUCGGCUGUCACUUAUGGAUGGACCCGCGUCGCAUUAGCUAGUUGGUGAGGUAACGGCUCACCAAGGCAACGAUGCGUAGCCGACCUGAGAGGGUGAUCGGCCACACUGGGACUGAGACACGGCCCAGACUCCUACGGGAGGCAGCAGUAGGGAAUCUUCCGCAAUGGACGAAAGUCUGACGGAGCAACGCCGCGUGAGUGAUGAAGGCUUUCGGGUCGUAAAACUCUGUUGUUAGGGAAGAACAAGUGCUAGUUGAAUAAGCUGGCACCUUGACGGUACCUAACCAGAAAGCCACGGCUAACUACGUGCCAGCAGCCGCGGUAAUACGUAGGUGGCAAGCGUUAUCCGGAAUUAUUGGGCGUAAAGCGCGCGCAGGUGGUUUCUUAAGUCUGAUGUGAAAGCCCACGGCUCAACCGUGGAGGGUCAUUGGAAACUGGGAGACUUGAGUGCAGAAGAGGAAAGU
rnacentral:rRNA from 1 species